rnacentral:lncRNA from 1 species
AUGGCAUUCCAGGCACACCUGGCACCUGGAAGCUGGGGCUGUCCGAUGGCACCGCAGAGGGAUCCUCAUUCCUGGGGGAUCCCUGAGCCUCAGGGCUGCCCGUGGGAUCAGGGGGGGCUGUGGCCUCAUGGAGGGGCUCGGGGGGCACAGUGGGUGCCAGAGGAUAUCCAGAGGGAUUUGGAAUGGUUGGUGGGGGCUUCCCAGCACCCCAAAUCCCCGGAGAGGGGCCAAGGGGAAGUGUGGUGGGAAGCAGGAGCUGGGCCAGGCGGUAGCGGUGGUGUUGAGGGGUGCCAGGGGAUGAAUCUUCAGGGACUGGGGACUGGGGUGAGAAUGGGGGUGAGGUUGGGGAGUGGGAUGAGGAUGGAGAUGAGGAUGAGGAUGGAGAUGAGGAUGGGGACUGGGAUGAGGAUGAGGAUGGGGGCUGGGAUGAGGAUGGGGACAGGUCUCUGUCCUGCAGCGGGAGUCGGAUGUCUGUGGCUGAUGGAGGGAGGAUUUUGGUCAGCACCCACCUCUUUCCUAGGAACCCCCAGUCUGGAGGUGGCACAUCCAAGUGCCCAGGGAUGGAUCCGGGGAUCCCAAUACCUGGGCAGGAUGGGCAGCAGCCCACGGGCAGCGUGGGGGGCUCAGAGCAGGAGCGGGGGCACGGCCUCUCCUCACAGCUCACCUCUCCAAGCUGGAAAAACAGGGAUUGGCCGGCCUGCCAGCCCUUCCUGGUAUCCAAUAGCACUGGCACAGGCACGCCAUGGACACGGGCAUCCCACGGGAAUGGGCGGGAGGUCUCACCUGGCAUGUGCAGCGGGUACAGGGCUGACCCUCGGGAAUGAAGCUCUGGCCGUUCUCCACCUUCCUGCCCUGGUAGUUGCAGUCUGCAGGGACCAAGGUCCAGAGGGGGUUCUGGGGGACUCGGGGGGAUUUUGGAGUGUUCAGGGGGAUUUUGGGGACCCACCCAAUCUCGUACCCUCACAGACGGGGCAGCACCGACCCUCGGGGUGGAAGGGGUAG